AUUGAACGCUGGCGGCAGGCCUAACACAUGCAAGUCGAGCGGAUGAAGGGAGCUUGCUCCUGGAUUCAGCGGCGGACGGGUGAGUAAUGCCUAGGAAUCUGCCUGGUAGUGGGGGAUAACGUCCGGAAACGGGCGCUAAUACCGCAUACGUCCUGAGGGAGAAAGUGGGGGAUCUUCGGACCUCACGCUAUCAGAUGAGCCUAGGUCGGAUUAGCUAGUUGGUGGGGUAAAGGCCUACCAAGGCGACUAUCCGUAACUGGUCUGAGAGGAUGAUCAGUCACACUGGAACUGAGACAAGGUCCAGACUCCUACGGGAGGCAGCAGUGGGGAAUAUUGGACAAUGGGCGAAAGCCUGAUCCAGCCAUGCCGCGUGUGUGAAGAAGGUCUUCGGAUUGUAAAGCACUUUAAGUUGGGAGGAAGGGCAGUAAGUUAAUACCUUGCUGUUUUGACGUUACCAACAGAAUAAGCACCGGCUAACUUCGUG
rnacentral:rRNA from 1 species